rnacentral:rRNA from 1 species
AUGUGCGGAAAUGGAGAUGAAAGUCUCUUUCACUGCUUGUUAACAUGUGAUCACGCCAAGUUGUUUUGGGUGGAAGCAGAGACAGUAUUUUGUAUAGAGAAGCCCCGACUCCAUCCAAACACUUGGGCCACUGAUUUUCUUGAAGCUAGUUUGGUGCCAAAGAAGGAUGCAACUAUUGGCAUUACGGUGAUGUGGGCUGUGUGGAGCAGUCGGAACAGGUUCACUCACCAUGAAGAAAGAUACCAACCAAAGCGGUCCAUGGAGAUUAUUUCAGAAAUUGUGGGGACGUUGGAGCUUGCCCCUGCGACACAUAUACCUGUUGUCAAUGGGCAGCAGCUAUGGGAGGCGCCGAUGGCCAGGGUUGUCAAGAAGAAUGUCGAUGGCACUGUUGACACGGCUAGUGCAAAAGGUGGCACUGACGUGGUUGCCUGA